GUAGAAAAAUUAAUAAUUUAUAAUUAAUAAAAUUAAUUUUUAUAUUAAAAUUGGGGGAUUUUAGUAUUAAUUAAAGAAAUAAUUAUAAUUUUUAUAGUUUAUUAGUAUUGUGGAAGAAUUUUGAAAUAUAUUAAAAAAUAAUUAAUUAAAAAGUAAAUUUUAUUUGUUGUAUCUUGUGUAUCAGAGUUUAUUAAAUAUAUAAAUUUGUAAAAAAUUUUUCUCGAAUUAAAAAGAGAUAAUUAAUUAUAAAAGUUAUUGUUUCAUAAAUAUUUUAAAUAAUUAAUUUGAAAUGAAAUGUUAAUCGUUUUUUAAUAUAUCUAGUUUUUUUUAGAAAAAAAUUUAAUUUUAAAUUUAUUUAUUUUAACUAUUUAAUUAACAAAUUAAAUACUUAAAAAUAAGAUUCUAUAUUUUAAGGGAUAAGCUUUAAUUUAAAUUUUCAUAAUAAUUUAAUAAUAUAAUAUUUAAAAUUUUUAAAAUUUAUAUUGUCUAUAAAUUUUAACUUAUUAUAAAUAAUUUUAAUAAAUUAAAUAAAAUUUUAAAAAAAUUUAAUUUUAUAUAAAAAAAUUAAUAUUAAUUAAUUAAUAUUAAGUUAUAAUGAUAAAAUUAGUAUAAAUUAUUAUAAGUAAAAAAAAUCAUAUAGUUAAAAUUAAAUAAGAUAAAGGAAUUCGGCAAAUAUUUAUAUUCCCUUGUUUAUCAAAAACCCGUCUUUUUGAAUAAAUAAUUUAAAGUCUAAUCUGCCCCCUGAUUAAUAUUAAAGGGCUGCCGUAAUUUGACUGUACAAAGGUAGCAUAAUCAAUAGUCUUUUAAUUGAAGACUGGAAUGAAAGAUUGAAUGAAAUAUAUACUGUCUCUAUUUUAAUAUUUAAAAUUUAAUUUUUUAGUUAAAAAGCUAAAAUGUUUUUAAAAGACGAGAAGACCCUAUAGAGUUUUAUAUUUAUUAUUAUUAAAAUUAUAUAUUUAAUUUAAAUUAAAAUUUUAAUAAUUAUUUUAUUGGGGUGAUAAAAAAAUUAAUUAAACUUUUUUUAAUAUUUAAACAUAGAUAAAUGAUUAAUUGAUCCAAAAUUUUUGAUUAAAAGAAUAAAUUACCUUAGGGAUAACAGCGUAAUUUUUUUUUUUAGUUCAUAUAAAAAAAAAAGUUUGCGACCCCGAUGUUGGAUUAAGAUAAAAUUUAAAUGCAAAAGUUUAAAAUUUUGAUCUGUUCGAUCAUUAAAAUCUUACAUGAUCUGAGUUCAAACCGGUGAAAGCCAGGUUGGUUUCUAUCUUUAAAUUAUUAAAAUAUUUUAGUACGAAAGGAAUUAAUAUUUAAAUUAAAUUUAUAAUAAAGAUUUACAAUAAAUUAAAAUUUAAAAAAAAAAUUAAUAUAAUAAUAGUAUAUAUAUAUAUAUAUAUAU
rnacentral:rRNA from 1 species